rnacentral:rRNA from 1 species
AUUGAACGCUGGCGGCAGGCUUAACACAUGCAAGUCGAGCGAGCGGCGGACGGGUGAGUAAUGUCUGGGAAACUGCCUGAUGGAGGGGGAUAACCACUGGAAACGGUAGCUAAUACCGCAUACCAUCAGAUGUGCCCAGAGGGGAUUAGCGAGUAGGUGGGGUAAUGGCUCACCUAGGCGACGAUCCCUACCUGGUCUGAGAGGAUGACCAGCCGCAUUGGAACAGGUCCACGGUCCAGAUUCUGAGGGAGGCCGGCUGUGGGGAAUCUUGCACAAUGGACGCAAGCCUGAUGCAGCCAUGCGGCGUGUGUGAAGAAGGCCUUCGGGUUUUAAAGCACUUUCAGCGAGUAGGCGUUACUCGCAGAAGAAGCACCGGCUAACUCCGUGCCAGCAGCCGCGGUAAUUC